rnacentral:lncRNA from 1 species
CACAUCAGGCGCUUGCUGUUUGAUCAUCAUGUUGGUCUGGGCAACACUUACAUGAGGUGAAGUUGAACUGCCUGACGCUGCCAACACCGCCGUCGCCCUCCACGGGAUGGGCGCUUGUGACGACGUGAGAGGCGACCUUGGGCGCCAGGUUGUGCCAGUCCAUCACGGCGGCGCGGAACAGGCGCGGCGCGGCCACCGGCGACGGGAUCUCUAGGGUCCAGCUGUUGGAAGCCAUGCUGGUGGUGGUCUGGGAUGAGCUUUGGCUCGGUGCCUAGGCCUAGUUUGAUACUAGUAGCUGGAGCUGCUGCUUGUGUUGCUGGAACGAGCGGCAACAAGGUAUUUAAAUAGAGUGCGGUGAGCGCGGGGUUGGUGACGCUUUGCCCGGUUGGUGUCCGGUGGUGACUGGUGAGGGCCUCAAGUUGCUGGGCGAGUCGUCGGGCUUUUCCACAAUGGAUGGCUCUGUCGGUCGAGUGAGCUUUUAGUAAGGCGGGCGUCGAAACACACGUCUUGCACGGUCUUUGUCAAAACACGAGGAUAUAUUCGAGGAGUAUGUUGACGGAAUUGGCGCCACCUUCCGCUUGCACAAUUUGGUCUUUGGUAUAUAAAAGUAGUAUGUAAUGACUGUCAGAGUUCUAGAUAUUUGACUGCAUGUCUGCAUGCUAGGAUAACUUCCAUUCUAGAACGAUAUGAGGCCCUUGACUAACAUGAAUACAUCAUCUUUUGAAUUUAGACAUGAGAAGACUUAAAUUUUGUUUGACAUAACUCAACUUUAUUUUUGAAACUGCUUUUUUUAAAUAGCUCUACGUGCAACUUUCUCGGUAUUAAAAAGUUAUUUUAUAAAAUAGCUUCACUAACAACUUUAUGUAUGGUUGAGAGAGAGAAAUGAAAGAGCGCUUUGAAAAGUUAUUUUUAGCUCUAUUUUUCUGUGAGAGCAUAAAAAAGGUGUUUGACAAAAAACAACAACAACUCACAACAGCUCAUGAAGUUGUUGGUUAAACCGUGUCACAUAGAGCCUCACUUGCUGUCGACGAAAGCUGGUCGGCAGUCUACCUUGGGGUAUACCCACGGUAGUAGUUUAUUGGUAGACGGUGCGCAAACUACGAACUCGACGGUGACGCAAGACUCGGACAAGCUUUUUAUCCAGGUUCGGCCGCCGAGUUGGCGUAAUACCUACGUCCUGCGUCUGGUUGUAUUGAUUUGUGUUGAGAGAAUAUCCUGUCCUAGGGGGGUCCCUUGCCCCUCCUUAUAUAGUCUGGAGGGCAGGGUUACAGAUCUGGAAACUAAUCCUAGUCGGUUACAAUUGUCAUAGAUAGUUCGAUAUCAAUUCCUAUUCUAACCGACUAGAAUCCUGCUUGAUCUCCACAUCUUGCUUCCUUGCGCGAAACCCCAUGCUGUCGGAUCAAGCCUUGAACUCGUCUCGUAAUGGGCCAAGCCUCCUGGCCCAAGUCUAGCCAUAAGGGUAUAGGGGUCUAUCCCCCCACACUUGCUGACAGUGAUGCCACCUUUUUCUUCUUAUCUCAUCCCUUAUGGAUCUUUUAUGAGAAACAUCUUGUUUAAUUUAUAAAAAAACUACCCUUUUUUUAAGUGACUCCUUCUUGCUCUAGCGAGAUCUUUUACCGUUGUCGAAAUGGUAACAUGAUGUACCACUCAACAUGCAUGAGAGGUAAACCACGGUACCUUUAGGACUAAUAGUUUUGACACCUACAGUACCAAACUCAAGUUAUAUAGUUUUGAUAACUUACCAAGGAUAAUAAAAAAAAACUCCUUACAAAUGCCUUCUAUGGCUUCUUAUAGGCACUUGUUAUGAUAUAAGGACACAACUAUGACAAUUAAGGAAUGGUGGGCAUCCUUAUUGAAGGUCCAUUUGGACUUUGGAUGCAAGGGGUAAUUGGUAGUUAGCUAAGAAUUAGCUCCCGUGUAUCUAAAUAGGAAUAUAUGUGCUAAUUUUUUAAUUAGCCAAGUUUUCAGCUAGUCGUUAGGCAAAUAGCUAGCCAACUAUAAACUAAUUUAGACUAAUUUUUAGCCCCAACUAAUAACUAGUGUAUCCAAAUAGAGUAGAAUUGUAAAAGAGAACGAUGGUAGUUCUAGUGUACUAUUUUUAGGAUGUCUACAAAUAACAAAAUAGAAGGGCUUUGCACGGAAAGAUGAAUUGACUCUAAAAAAGAAGGCUUGUGGCAAACCUAGUUUAGGCUUUUCAUUUCGCUGAAAAUACACUGAAAAGUACUGUUCACUGAUUUGUUGUGAGAGAAAAAUCCUGUAUCAUGACUGAUAAAUCUAAUGUCAUUGUUGUAUUCUUUUGUAACUUAAAUUUGCAAAAAUCUACAUUUUCUUUCUUUUUUAAAAGAAAAUGGACAGACAAGAGAGCUACCUUUUAUAUAGUACAGUCAGGCUUCUCCUUACGUGACCUGUCAUUUCUUAAAAAGAAAUGCAAGCUCGGUUGAUAAGGGUUUAGCCGUUUGAGGCCGCCGUUGAGCAUCACUUUUGUCUAAACUCAGAAAAUGAACUAAAAGCUGCUGUGAAGAGAUUUCGUGGCUUAUGAUUUGUUCUGGAAGCUAAAAAAAUAUUACAAAAUUCAAUAAUGAAAAUACAACAGUCAGAAGCCACAAAAUCAGCUUUUAUGUCAAAAGUACAAAAGAUACCGCUCAAACAAACAAGCCCUUAAAUGUCUUCUUCUCCCAGCUCUCUAGUGAACGCUAUAGCUCUUGGAGCUUUCAUAUUUUCCAUAAUAAUUUUAAACACUCUACCAAUAUCUACUGAAAAUGUAUCGAAAAAAUCAAAAUAUCUAUUAGAAAUGAGCAAAAUUAUCGGUCAAACUUGCAUAGAAUUCGAAAACAAAAUGCCCCUAUUCUUCCCACACAUAAAACCAUUGUAUACCCAUUUUCUGUCCCUUCUUCUUUCAAGAAAGUCAUUGUAUACCCAAAUAGUUUUCCAUCCGCCCUAUUUAUAGUCCAGUUUAUCCAGUUUUUGGUAAAACCUAGCCUAGCCCGUAGGAUUUAUCUACAACAGUUUCUAACCCACAGGUACCAGCGGUUUCCCUCCUGAUCUUCCCCAAUCGCCCACUUGCAACACCACGUUGCUCAUUGUUAACUUACUCUCCACGGACCUGUCCGCUCGUCGCGCUCGCCUCGAGCCGUCCGUGCGCUCUGGAGAUCCUAACUUUAUAUAUGGCCAUGCAGCCCAUGGCCCGGUGGCCCGGCCCAUGGCCUGACGAUUUGGCACGGCCCGAGGGACCCUGCCUAGGCCACCACCUAUGCACGCGACAUGGCCCAAGCAUGGCUUUAUCCAACGGUUGGCCCGGUAGCGGCUCGGUGAAAAUAAACUGUUGUGUAGUUGUGACUUAUAUAUAUAUGUGCCGUUAAUUGUUAUAUUGGAGAAAAUGAUGAACAAUUGGUGAAAAUGAUAAAGUGUUUUAGCACUUAGUGAAAAUGUUAAUGAAAAUGAACUGUUUUCGGCUAAACGGGUCGUGGGCUGGCACAAUACGAGAAAAACGCCAUGCUUGACGGGCCGACACGACACGAAAACCGGCCCAUAGGCCGUGCCUUAGGCCGAAGGCUAUGCAUGAAGUCCAUGGAGGCACGACCCGCAGCACGACACUGCAUGACGUUGGACAUAUAUAAUCCUAAAGCAGGACGAUUAGAAGGAAGAAGAUGGGGGUCUCCACCUGUCGUGCAGUGGAAUUCUCGUGCCUCCCCGUGCAUGGCCACGGUGCCACCAUUGACCACACGAGCGCGGCGUGGUGUGCGUCCGAAGAUGUUGUGGCUGGCGUUGAAGACAACCUCGAAGUUGUGCCUCUGUCCUCCAUUGGUGCCCAUGGGUACGCUGUUGAGCGGCGCUGGUGCCCCCUUCGUCGGCACGGGAGGAAGAACACGACCAAGUUUAACGAGUUGAGUGGUGUGGAAACGUCGCAAACCAACACGCGUGGUUUCUCCUGACACGGUUUACCGUGGGCUGAUUCACGGGUACACGGUUAGUAUACAUAUAUAUAGGGGGUGUUUGGUUCAAAAAAUGCAAAUGUCAAUUACUUUGUAAUGAUGGAAUGUAAAAGGUCAAACUUUUCAUGGUUAUGUUUAGUAAUGCAGAAUUUAUUGUCUUUAUAAGGGCCUCUUGAGGUUCUUUUGGUGUGUUUUUUUGCCUCUUGAGGUCAAAAUCUAAAAUAAAGAAUAAUUAUUUUUUUGCUAAAAAUUUUGCAUGCUGUUUAGUUAUAUUAUACAGAACAAUGGACCAAAACCAAGAAUUUUUUAGAAUAGCAGGGGAAAACACCCAUAAUCGCACAACGACAGCAUGCUACAUACCACUCAUAACAUCUCAAGUCCACACACCGCACACUGCUUAGAGCAGCUUUAUUUAUUUUGUACGAAAAAAGGAACAUGAAAGAAAAAAAAUCCAGUCUCUGAAUAUAUCAAAACAUGUAUAAGACCACCCGUGAAGUGCAAUCGCAUCCCCAUCCACAGAUUUAGUUGUAGGCGUCGGGGUUGGCGACGAGGUAGGCCUCGGCACCCUUGAAGAUGGCGGUGACUGCCUCCUUGGCCUUGACUUCCUCGCCCUUCACGUCCACACCCGGCAGCAGCUUGUAGGUCGACUCCACCUUCACCACGCUGCCGCCGCCGGCCGCGGGCUCCACCUUGAUGUGCGACGCCGCGGUCUCGACGGCCACGCCGAUGCCGCCUCCCUCGACGAGCGUCGACUUGCACUCGCACUUGUCCAUGUCCAGGGACUCGAGCUUCUCCUUCAUGAAGCUGAAUGGCAUGACUGCAAGAGCGAUCGAUCCCACGUCAGGCGCUAGCUGUUUGAUCGAUGAUCAAGCGAGAGAACAUCAUGUUGGUCUGGGCAACACUUACAUGAGGUGAAGUUGAACUGCCUGACGCUGCCAACACCGCCGUCGCCCUCCACGGGAUGGGCGCUUGUGACGACGUGAGAGGCGACCUUGGGCGCCAGGUUGUGCCAGUCCAUCACGGCGGCGCGGAACAGGCGCGGCGCGGCCACCGGCGACGGGAUCUCGAGGGUCCAGCUGUUGGAAGCCAUGGCUGGUGGUCUGCGAUGAGCUUUGGCUCGGUGCCUAGCUAGGUCUAGUUUGAUUAGCUGAUGCAAGUAGGUGGAGCUGCUGCUUGUGUUGCUGGAACGAGCGGCAAAAAGGGAUUUAAAUAGAGUGCGAUGAGCGCGGGGUUGGUGACGCUUUGCCCCGUUGGUGUCCGGUGGUGACUGGUGAGGCCUGAAAGUUGCUGGGCGAGUCGUCGCGCUUUUCCACAAUGGAUGGCUCUCCGUCGGUCGAGUGAGCUUUAUUAAUAAGGCGGGCGUCCAAAACACACGUCGUUGUCGCACACUCUUUGUCAAAACACGAGGAUAUAUUCGAGGAAUAUGUUGACCGAAUUGGCGGCUUGCCGCCACCUUCCGCUUGCACAAAUUGGUCUAGGUCUUAAAAACAAGCCAUGUAUGUCACAUUUGGUUGGUAUAUACAAGUAGUAUGUAAUGACUGUCAGAGUUCUAGAUAUUUGACUGCAUGGAUGUCUGCAUGCUGGAUAACUUCCAUUCUAGAACGAUAUGCCUUGACUAACAUGAAUUCAUCAUCUUUUGAAUUUAGACAUGAGAGGACUUAAGUUCCGUUUGACACAACUCAGUUUUAUUAUCGAAGCUGUUUCUUUAGAUAGCUUUAUGAGUAACUUUCUUGGCUGAGCUAUUUUAGAAAAUCAUUUUGUAAAAUAGUUUCACUAACAACUUUAUGCAUGGUUGAGAGGGGAAAAUGAGAGAGCUUUUUGAAAAGUUGUUUUUUAGUUCUACUUUUCCGUGGGAGCAUAAAAAAGGUGUUUGACAAAAGAAAAGAGUAAAGUCCAUCACCAGUCUCUAAACUUGUUUAGGUAUAUCAUCCCGGUCUCUAACUCGCAAAACGAUCGUUUAGGUACCUAAACUUGUUCGGCUAUAUCACUCUGGUCCCUAAACUUGGAAAUCUCAUAUAUAGGCCUUCAAACUUGUUUAGUUGUGUCAUCCCAGUCCCUAAACUUGUUUUUAAGUCUCGUCUGGUUCAAAACGGAACGAAUCUAAAAACUCUAUAAAUAACUCAUAACUUUUUCAUAUAAACUCAAAUAAAGAUAAACUUUAUAUUAAAAUUAUAGCCAACAAUGUGAUCUACAACUUUGUAGUUAAAAAGUUUUUAAACUAAAAUAAUUUAGGGUCUCAUUUUUUUGUAAGUUUAUUAAAUUUUGUGACACUAAAUGACUUCAAAUAAAAAACUUUUCAACUACAAAGUUAUAGAUCACAUUGAAGGCUACAACUUUAAUAUAAAGUUUGUUUUCAUUCAAGUUUAUAUGAAAACGUUAUGAAUUAUUUUUCUAUAUAGAGUUUUUAGAUCGCUUUGUUUUGACCCAGGUGAGACUCAAGACCAAGUUUAGGGACUGAGAUGACACAACUGAAUAAAUUUAAGGACCUAAAUGGGUAAUUUCUAAGUUUAGAAACCAGGAUGACACAUCUGAACAAGUUUAGAGACCGGAAUGAUAUAGACAAACAAGUUUAAUGACCUAAAUGAUCAAUUUAUGAGUUUAGGGACCGAUCGAGGUGAUACAACAGGUGGUGGAUUUUACUAUAAAAACUCACAACAACUCAUGAAGUUGUUGAUGAAGCUGUGCCAAAUAAGGCCUCACUUGCUGACGGUGUUGUCACCCUUUUCUUCUUAUCUCACCCUUUACAGAUCUUUUACAAGAAACAUCUUGUAAACAAAUCGUUGUCACCCUUUUUUUUUUGUUGAGUGACCCCUUCUCGCUCUAGCAAGAUCUUUUGCCGUUCUUCAAAUGGUAACAUGAUGUACCACUCAACAUGCAUGGGAGGUAAAAAAAAUGGUACCUAGGUACUAAUACUUUUGAUAGCUACAGUACCAAACUCAAGUUAUAUAUAGUUUUGAUACCUUACCAACGAUAAAAAAACUCCUUACAAAUGACUUCUAUGGCUUCUUAUAGACACUAGUUGCUAUAUGAUAUAAGGACACAACUAUGACAAUUAAGGAGUGGUGGGGUCUUUAUUAAAGGUUUGUUUGGACUUUGGAUACAAGGCGUAAUUGCUAGUUAGCUAAGAACUAGCUCGUGUAUCUAAAUAUGAGAGUUAAUAGGUGAGUUACUUUUAUAGUCAUUUUUUUUACUAGUCGUUAGUCAACAACCAGUAACUAGCCAUGUGUAUCUAAAUCUCCUACAACUAAAAAGAACAAAACGUGGAUACUUUUUGGUGCGACAUUCUAACGUGGGCCCAUAGUCCUGCCUGCUGCGUUCCCGUGGCCACUCUACAUCGUGCAUGACAUCCCUUGCGAUAUUCAAUUCAAAUCAAGAAUCGAUAUGUCAGGUUCCAGUUUUUAUACGAUUGCCAUAUGAAGCCUUUCCGCCAAAAGCCGUCCGACCACGGUGAAACAAAAAUAAUAAUAAAAUCUGCCCCAAUUCACGGACGGGUGACCAACGUGGCCAUGCAUGAAAGAAAUCGUCUAAAAAAUACUCAACUUUCCAUCUCUUCCGCUCCCUUUUCUUGAGAAAAAUGGUCAACCAUCGUGCAACUAAUCAGGAGACCAUCCCACCGAUCCCGCGUGCACAGCUGGCGGAAGCCCCUCGCGCGGUCACAAUCUCUCCUCAAUCAUGCACGGACAUCGCGUUCCUUAGGCAAAAGCAGAAAUUCCUCUCGAUCAUGCGCCGCCGCAACGAAACAUCUUCCUUUCCUGCCCGACGCCCUCGCUCUCGGUGCUUGGAGAGAUCGAGCCGAGCAUACCGGCUUCCCCUGAAGGCUUGAGACGGACACAGUUGACUGCUUCUUCGUCAUUGAUUGUCGCCAGCAACUGCGCCCUUGGCAUCGGUGUGGCCUUGCAAGAUUGGAUCUUUUUGUUUUCAUCCCAAUCAUCGCCAUGGCGGCCUCCUCCCCCUGAACGAUGAACGCAGCUGCUUCGUCAUUGAUGAUCAGCUUCUGACCCUUCACCAAUCUCUAUCCCCUAUUAUUUGUUCCAUCAUCUGUUCCACUUUCCACGAUUGAUUCAGUACUGGUGUUGCAAACUUAUUUCGAUUCUCAAAAAGCGAACAACCUGAUCGGUUUGGUAAGCAUCUUUCUAUUCCAGGCUAUCGAAGCUCUCAUUAAGCUUUUUGAUUCAGUUUGUGCCAAAGGUACGUUCUUGGCAAAUGCGAGCUGGCACCAUGAAGCAAAUUAUAGCUAUUGGAGUCCAGUAGAUAAUAUCUUGUGUGAUCUCCUUGUUCUUAAAUAGUGUAAUUUAAGAAAAAACUUAUUCAUGUUUGUUCUCUUCGACCUUUUUAGAUACAAGACACAGAUUAUUAUAUUGAUAUCAUAAUUGGUUGUGGCAUUGAGGUGUGUAAAUUUAUGCUUUUCUCUUUUCUGUCGGUGUUUAAACUCUCUUCUGAAUUCAUGCCAUCCAUUGACUCCAGGUGAGAAACACCUCCUGUUGUUUAAUUGUUUUUUUGCUCUUGCUUUCAGUAUGAAUAGUCAAAUAUAGUCAAAACAAUAACCUGGUUCAGUAGUAAUAAGGAAUCAAGCUAUUGCAACACUUCUUGUCAAAAAAAUGCAGCACUUCUAGAGUUGCUACGGGUUUUAAAAUUCUCACUUGCUGCACAUUAGGAGACGAAAUUCUUGGUUUCAGUUAGCAGAGUGACACUUAUCACUGUUAUCUAUAAGGCAAAUCUAACAACAUAGCACAGAUUGUGGACAUCAGUUUUUUUUUAGAAAGUGGACAUUGUGGGCGGCUGAGCGGGCACCUACGGGUGGGCGCGGCCGGCGUCAUGGCCAGCUCUGGGCGGGCGCGGGGUGGGGGAGGGGGGUGAUCAAGGCUGAAUCACAGGAAGGUUUCCUUUUAGGUGCUGUUAGCUUGGUUGGCUAAUCCCACACGCUUGAGGAGUUGCCUCUAGGAGGGGGCUGAAAUCACUUGGAGUUUCUUUUGAAUAUCGCAACGGGUGGAAAUAUUGAUCACGAAAAAAGUGGAAACAAAUAGCACCUUGGCUCUUUCCUUUUGAAUAUAGCAAAGGAUGCUGUAGGUGGGCGACGACGUUGUAGGCUCACAAAAUCACUGUCGUUUGCAAUAACAAAUACCUAUGAUUUAACUAUUUCUAUAUAUUGCUGAUCAUGAAUCUUCCUACAGGUACUUAAGUGGAUUUCUCAUCCUACAAUAUAUGUCUACAUGGAAUAGACCAAAAGCCACACAUAUUUAUACAGUGAGUCUAACACUUUGUCUAAGUUUUUGUAAAAGUUUUUUAACAAAAUAUAGUAUUACCCAUGCGACACACACUAAUAUUUACAUAUAUAUACUCGAAUGUGUGACAGGAUGGUACGAAGAUGCGGCAGAAUUUAUUUGUGGAUUUACUGGCACAUGAAAGAAAUGGAUAUCCGAGAUAUCUUCCCGUCGAUAUUAAACAUUAUCUUAGCCGUAUCACGGAAAGGUCUAUAAAGUAGAGUUUGUGAGCCUACAACGUCGUGCUCUUCGUGACUGUGUUUGAUUUCACAAACAUUGCGAUCCUACAAUGUCAUUUUCAAGUUGUUAUUUAAGUAGAAGAUUCUAAUAUUAUUAUCUUGUUAUGCGAUCUAUGUAUUUUAAAUAAAAAAUGUUAGCUAUCCCGUAGCAACGCACGGGCAUGCUAUCUAGUAGAGUAGAAUUGUAAAAGAGAACAAUGGUAAUUCUAGUGUACUAUUCUUGAGAUGUCUAGAAAUAACAAAAUAGAAGGGCUUUGCACGGAAAGAGGAAUGUACUGUGAAAAACAUGGCAUAACUUAUGCCGAGGCUGUUCGUUCCGUUAAAAAAAUAAGUUGAAAAGAAAGUAAUGUUCACUAAUUUAUUGUGUGAGAAAAAUAUUGUAUCAUAGCUGAUAAGUCUGUAGUGUCAUUGUUAUAUUCGUUUGUAACAUAAAUUUGCAAAACUCUACAUUUAACAUUUUCUCUUUUUUUUAGAAAAAAAUGGACAGACACGAGAGCUACCUUUUAUAUAGUACAGUCAGGCUUCUCCUUACGUGAUUGAGCAAAGCUCGGUUGAGCAAACAAGGAUGACACAUCUGAACAAGUUUAGAGACCGGAAUGAUAUAGACAAACAAGUUUAAUGAUCUAAAUGAUCAAUUUAUGAGUUUAGGGACCGAGAUGAUACGACAGGUGAUGGAUUUUACUAAAAAAACUCACAACAACUCAUAAAGUUGUUGAUGAAGCUGUGCCAAAUAAGGCCUCACUUGCUGAUGGUGUUUUCACCCUUUUCUUCUUAUCUCACCUUUUACAGAUCUUUUACAAGAAACAUCUUGUAAACAAAUGGCUUAACUCUUUUUGUUGAGUGACCCCUUCUCGCUCUAGCAGGAUCUUUUGCCGUUCUUCAAAUGGUAACAUGAUGUACCACUCAACAUGCAUGGGAGGUAAAAAAAUGGUACCUAGGUACUAAUACUUUUGAUAGCUACAGUACCAAACUCAAGUUGUAUAUAGUUUUGAUACCUUACCAACGAUAAAAAAACUCCUUACAAAUGACUUCUAUGGCUUCUUAUAGACACUAGUUGCUAUGAUAUAAGGACACAACUAUGACAAUUAAGGAGUGGUGGGGUCUUUAUCAAAGGUUUGUUUGGACUUUGGAUACAAGGCGUAACUGCUAGUUAGCUAAGAACUAGCUCGUGUAUCUAAACAUGGGAGUUAAUAGGUGAGUUACUUUUAUAGUCAUUUUUUUGACUAGUCGUUAGUCAACAACCAGUAAUGUGGGGGUAUAAACCCCUAUACCCUUACGGCUAGACUUCGGCCAGGAGGCUUGGCCCAUUACGAGACGAGUCCAAGGCUUGAUCCGACAACCUGGAGUUUCGCGCAAGGAAACAAGAUGUGGAGAUCAAGCAGGAUUCUAGUCGGUUAGAAUAGAAAUUGAUAUCGAAUUAUCCAUGACAAUUGUAACCGACUAGGGUUAGUUUCCGGAUCUGUAACCCUGCCCUCCAGACUAUAUAAGGAGAGGCAAGGGACCCCCCUAGGACAUCAUAUUCUCUCAACACAAAUCAAUACAACCAGACGCAGGACGUAGGUAUUACGCCAACUCGGCGGCCGAACCUGGAUAAAAAGCUUGUCCGUGUCUUGCGUCACCAUCGAGUUCGUAGUUUGCGCACCGUCUACCGAUAAACUACUACCGUGGGUAUACCCCAAGGUAGACUGCCGACUAGCUUUCGUCGACAGUGGCGCGCCAGGUAGGGGGUGUGCGUGCAACUUUUCCGGCGAACAAGAUGGUCACGAUCCCAGCUUCCGCGACCGUGCCCGAAGGCCUCACGUUCACCGUCGGCCAGAUCACGUGGACGGCGUGCAGCGGCGGCUUCACGACCACGGUUUCGGAAGAGAUCCAGAUCCAAUCUGAGUUCACGCCGUCUCCGACCACACGCAUGACGGCACCAAGCGCCCGACCACCGUUCCCACUCUACAAGGGAAAGGAGAUCGACUGCUCGGACCUUCUCCAAGCGCUUGAUCGCGCUGACUCCAAGCUACUCGAAGUUUCCCAACUAAUAGAUGGAGUUCUGCGUCGGCCCGACCAAGCUGCUCCAGCGGAUUUUUUCAAAUCCCGCCGGCCAACUCGUGUCGCCACACACGAACGGCUGGGAACGUCUCUGACGAUAACCUCAACCCCCUCAGGACGAUCCGUCCAGCUCAAGAAGGAAGACUAUCCUUGCGGCCUGAACAACUCGACCUCUGUUUACUCACGGCACACCCAAUCCGUUUUCAGCAAGGCGGGUUGGUCGCCGACAACGAACAAUCGUCACCACGUCAACAUGGUGACAAUCCGAGAACUACGGGACGGCCAGGCUUCCAGCACCAACUCAAGCACCGGCUCCGUCCCCACCGAGGUUAUAAACACCGAAGACGAGGACUAUGACCUGGAUUUCCCUUCAUACCCUCCGGGUUUCGACCGAUUCCCGAUAUUCCCCCCCCGGCGAGGGGAUAUUGUGUUCAAUGUCAGCGCCGACGAACCGGUCGUUGAUGGAGAAACAGAUGACCAGAGGCAACUCCGCGAACGGCGUAACGCCGAUCGCGCCCGACGACGCGCGGACGAGCAACAACAAAUGCCACCAAAUAAUCUCAACGAUGCCUUUGACAUGGUCGGGGACCAGCCAGUCUACAAAACGCCAAGCGCCAACGUGGCUGUCGCCAUGGCUAACCUGGAUCGGCUUCCCGACACCCCCGAAUGCCAGGGAGUCCGGACCAGCAUCCGAGCACACCUGAUCGCCGCAAUGGGACAGACGGCCACUCUGCUCAAGAGAGUCUAGGACGUCUCUUAUACGGAAGCCGUCUCCGACCAGACUAAUCAUAGCCGGGCCUCACCCAGCAGGCGUCACCGCAGCCGCUCCCCCGACAACCGUCGAGGGGACUCACGGCGCGACGAUGGUGGUCGGGACGCCGAUGGCCGCCGCAAGCAGAACCGCGUACGCGGCCAAGAGGAAGAUCAACACAGGGAUCUCCGCCACAACAUCCCUUCCAAAGAUGCCCGGGACCACAUCAACAGGCGCGCUGCAGAGAGAGCAGUCCACGAAAACCUGCGCCGCAUCGAGUACGAUGCAACACACGGUCCCCCGGGCCUAAGACAGUUCUCCUCGCACCUCCGCCAGGUCGUGUGGCCCCGCAAUUUCAAGCUCGAAAAACUCAAAAAGUACGACGGCAAGGAAAAUCCAGAGAACUGGAUCACCCUCUAUGACAUCGCCGUCCGAUCAGCGGCAGGGGACGAGCACGUCAUGGCUAACUACUUCCCCGUAGUCCUCGACCAGGCUGGUCAUCAGUGGCUUCUCGGCUUGCCCGAGGACUCCUUCGACUCUUGGGAAGAGCUACGCCAGGCUUUCAUCGACAACUUCAUCGCCACAUGCGAGCAGCCUGGAAACAAGUAUGACCUUGAAAGGAUAAGGGACAGGAAGAACGAACCUCUGCGCGAUUACAUCCGACGAUUCUCGGAUAUGCGCCUCAAAAUCCCGAAGAUUUCUCAUGACGAGGCCAUCUCAGCCUUCAUCAAGGGCCUGCGUUUCCACGAAGCGCUGAGGAACAAGCUGUUGCGUAAGCGUCCAACAACGGUAGCAGAGCUCCUCGCCACGGCCAAAAAUUACGCCGAUGCCGAUGACGCAGAAAAACUAAUCCGAGACGAUGCGAGGGGUCCCGACCAGCCUCCCCGACGAGAUGAUGGUCGUGGUCGCAACGACAGCAGAAAUCACCGCCGCUCCGACAACCGCGAUCAUCGAGAGGGUUGGGAUCGGCGGCGCGACAGCCGCGAUGACUUCAGAGGAAAGCGCCCUCGCGACUACGACCACGAAGUAAAUACGGUCAAACGACCCAAUGGACGACGGGACUACCAAGAAGACUACAACAAAACGUUGAGGGGACCAUGCCAACUACACCCAAAGUCCAAUCAUACCAUGGAAGAGUGCCGCGUCCUCAAAAGUAUCUAUACACGGCGGGCCGCCCAAGACGACUCCGCCAAGAAAAACAACAAGCGCGACGCGCACGACCACGAAGAUGAGGAUGAGGACCAAGAUAGGGACCCCCGACACCAAUACGUCAGCCCCACUGACGUGGUCCACUCCAUUUUCGGGGGCAAGGUCUCCACUGAGUCCAAGCGAGAAAGAAAGCUGUUAAAGAGAGCCUGCCUCAACAUAGACAGCACGGACGGGCUGAUCGCAGACCCGAAAUUUCCCACGUGGUCCCACAGGGAGAUCUCGUUCAGCAGGAAGGACCAGUGGGCCGCUAUCCCAGAGCCGGGUCGUUUCCCCCUGAUUCUUGACCCCUGCAUCAACAGCAUCAGAUUCGAGCGCGUGCUCGUGGACGGGGGAAGCUCCAUCGACAUCCUCUUCCGCAACAGCCUGCCCGCCCUCAAGAUAUCCCCGGCACAACUAAAACCUUACGACGCCCAAUUCUGGGGGGUUUUGCCAGGUCAAAGUUCCGUGCCUCUCGGACAGAUAACAUUGCCUGUCCAAUUCGGCACACCCGACCACUUCCGGACAGAGUUCAUCAACUUCGUAGUCGCGGAUUUCGACGGGACCUAUCACGCCAUACUGGGCCGCCCAUCGCUGACAAAGUUCAUGGCAGUCCCGCACUACUCAUACCUAGUCCUUAAGAUGCCCACGGAGAAGGGUGUCCUAACCAUCAGAGGCAACGUCUACACUGCGUACACCUGCGAAGAAGAAAGCUUCAAGAUCACCGAGGCAAUUGACCUCUCAAUCCGCAUGGCGGAAACAGCAAACCAAGCCGCACAGCUGCCUCCCGACCAGCUCCGAUUACCCGAACAGGCGACAGCCAGGAAGAACUCAAAAUCCAAGGAGUACAAAGAAGUGCAGCUGGUCGAAGGCAACCCCGAGAAGACAGCCCUCAUCGGGGCCAACCUGGAUCCAAAAUAGGAAGACGCGCUCGUCAGGUUUCUAAGGGACAACGUGAGCGUUUUCGCAUGGAAACCCGCAGACAUGCCCGGUGUCCCACGAAACCUGAUCGAGCACUCCUUAAAUGUCUCGAAGACCGCAAGACCAAUCAAGCAAAAACUGCGACGGUUCGCUCGUGACAAAAAGGAGGCUAUUAGGACAGAAAUAACACGGCUUCUAGCAGCCGGAUUCAUAAAAGAAGUGUAUCACCCCGAUUGGCUCGCCAAUCCGGUUCUUGUACGCAAAAAGAAUAAUGAAUGGAGAAUGUGCGUUGAUUACACUGAUCUCAACAAACACUGUCCUAAAGAUCCUUUUGGUCUCCCUCGCAUCGACGAGGUGGUCGACUCAACGGCCGGAUGCGAACUCCUCUCCUUUCUAGACUGCUACUCUGGUUAUCACCAGAUCUCGCUAAAGGAAGAAGAUCAGAUCAAAACAUCCUUUAUCACACCCUUCGGCGCAUACUGCUACACGACCAUGUCUUUCGGACUCAAAAACGCCGGAGCCACUUAUCAAAGGGCCAUCCAGCAAUGCCUCCACGACGAGAUUCGUGAUGACCUCGUCGAGGCCUAUGUGGACGACGUGGUCGUAAAAACAAGGGACGCGAGCACCCUAAUCGACAACUUAGACCGAACCUUCAAGGCACUUAAUAGGUACAAGUGGAAGCUCAACCCCAAGAAAUGCAUUUUCGGCGUUCCUUCCGGUCUACUGCUCGGCAACGUUGUCAGUUGCGACGGCAUACGACCAAACCCUUCAAAAGUAAAGGCGGUACUCGACAUGCGACCACCGAAGAACGUAAAGGAUAUCCAAAAGCUAACAGGAUGUAUGGCCGCCCUCAGUCGCUUCAUCUCAAGGCUAGGAGAAAAAGGCCUCCCUUUCUUUAAACUGUUAAAAGCGUCGGAAAAAUUUUUUUGGACAGAAGAAGCCGACACCGCAUUCAACCAGCUUAAGACCUUCCUCACUUCACCACCUGUCCUUACAGCCUGGAGUUUCGCACAAGGAAACAAGAUGUGGAGAUCAAGCAGGAUUCUAGUCGGUUAGAAUAGAAAUUGAUAUCGAAUUAUCCAUGACAAUUGUAACCGACUAGGGUUAGUUUCCGGAUCUGUAACCCUGCCCUCCAGACUAUAUAAGGAGAGGCAAGGGACCCCCCUAGGACAUCAUAUUCUCUCAACACAAAUCAAUACAACCAGACGCAGGACGUAGGUAUUACGCCAACUCGGCGGCCGAACCUGGAUAAAAAGCUUGUCCGUGUCUUGCGUCACCAUCGAGUUCGUAGUUUGCGCACCGUCUACCGAUAAACUACUACCGUGGGUAUACCCCAAGGUAGACUGCCGACUAGCUUUCGUCGACAAGUAACUAGCCAUGUGUAUCUAAAUAGAGUAGAAUUGUAAAAGAGGACGAUGGUAAUCCUAGUGUACUAUUCUUGAGAUGUCUUGAAAUAAUAAAAUAUAGAAGGGCUUUGCACGAAAAGAGGAUGUGAAAAACAUGGCUUAUGCCGAGGCUGUUUGUUCGGUUAAAAAAAUAAGUUGAAAAUAAAGUAAUGUUCACUAAUCUAUUGUGUGAGAAAAAUAUUGUAUCAUAGCUGAUAAGUCUGUGUGUCAUUGUUAUAUUCGUAACAUAAAUUUGCAAAACUCUACAUUUCUCCCUUUUUUUUAAAAAAAAUGACAGACACGAGCUACCUUUUAUAUAGUACAGUCAGGCUUCUCCUUACGUGAUUGAGCAAAGCUCCUGCCAUUUCUUAAAAAAAUGCAAGCUCGGUUGAUAAGGGUUUUGCCGUUUGAGGCUUCCGUUGAGCAUCACGUUUGUGUAAACUCAGAAAAUAAACUAAAAGCUGCUGUGAAGUGAUUUCGUGGCUUUUGAUUUGUUCUGGAAGCUAAAUAAAUAUUAAAUAAAUUUAAUAAUAAAAAUACAGCUACAAAAUCAGCUUUUAUGUCAGAAGUACAAAAGGUACCGCUCAAACAAACUAGCCCUUAGGGGGGCGUUUGGUUGCCUACACCAGUCCUCCUGAGCCAGGCUCUCCGCGUGCGAGAACAGACAUUUGUUUGGUUGGCAUAUGUGCCGAGCGAGGCUACACGCGUGCAAAAAGCCUCUCGCAGCCAGGCUCUGCUGAAACGCAGAAAUCGGCCGUUUUUGUUGGGCCUGGCUCACCUCAUGCGAGCAAGCACUGAACGAUGCAUGACGUGUGAGAUAGAGAUACGUGAACACGGUGAACCAAACAGAUGCUGCUGUUGGCCUAGCUGUAGUGAUCCAAGUAACCAAACAAGAUGCUAUCGCAUACAUAGAGCCUGGUCAAAGUUGGCCUGACUAGCUCUGUGCGAGCUAGGCUCUACCGAGCAACGAACCAAACAGUCUCUAGAUGUCUUCUUCUCACUGUGUGAAAAAAUGGCAUUACAGACGCGCCUUUACUGAUAUCACAGAUGCUCCUGAGUGCGUCAGUGAUAUAAAGUCUGAUAAAUAUUUAAUAAGACCUUAAUACUGACGCACUUCUAACAUCCGUAUGUAAGUAACACAUAGACACGUCAGUAGUAAAGCUUUUUCAGCGACGCCUAUCUAGAACACACGUCAUUAAGGUCCAGCUCGUCAGUACAAAAUUCUAACUGCAGACGCUUCUUCAGGAAUAGGGGUCUGUAGUAAGGAUUAAGCCACAGACGCAUUAUCCAGAGACGCGUCUACAGUAUGAAUUAAAUUGUAACAGUACCAUCGGCAUAUCUCUGUACUAAAUACCUCAAUGAAACGACAUAAAUACACAUCAACAUCUCAUUAAUUAGUACACAGCUUUAACACAAUCAAAUACAGAUCAAAGUUUAAUCACUAAAUUAAAUGUGUAGCUCUAAUAAAGUCACGUUACCUUAUGGCUGGCUAUCGAAUAACUUAUUUUGUAGCUUGAUCAAAACUGGCUCGUGGUCACCAGCGCACCAUGUGUGUCCAUUCAUCCAUGGCAGCUUAGGCGCGUGGCUUUGGCUUUGUGUCUCCCACCUCUCUAGUGAACGCGAUAGCUCUUGAAGUUUUUAUAUUUUCCAAAAUAAUUUCAAUUUUAAACGCGUACUAAAACAAAUUCAGGGUUACUGAUACAAAAUAUGAGAUCGGGUCGUAGAAAAAAGUGCCGAGAGAAAAACUUUUAGAAUAAAAAUAUAGAAAACUUUUGAAGAUGAUUUCUUUUUUUACUCCUCAUGUUAAUCUAGGAGUUCAUAAACAUGAUAUUUUGGGGAAUAUAAUAUAAAAGAUCUCUUGGAGAUGCUAUCUUUUCUUCCACCUCUCUAGUGAACGGUAUAGCUCUUGAAGCACAAAUCCAAUUCUACGGACGUUCAUUCAUUCUACCUCUUGAAGCUUUCAUAUUUUCCAAAAUAAUUUCAGUUUUCAAGACAUAUUCACUGGAACAGCCUCCCAAUAUCUAUUCAAAAUGUAUUCACACGAAAAAGUAAAUAUAUAUUCCAAAUGAGCAAAAUUCCUUAUUUGGUCAAACUUGCGUAGGAUUCCAAAAGGGUUUUUUUGAACGGUGCCAUUACAAUUUCAAAGUAUUUGAAAUAUGCCAUUAUAAUUCAGGUAUCCUGAAGCGGACCAUUACAAUUCUUGCAAAAUUUGAAAUAUGCCAUUGGAUACGGUAGAAGGACGCUUGGGCCUGCUUGCAAGCCGACGUGGCAUACGGUCGACCGUAUGCGCCCGUCGCCGUGAGCCAUCUAAACGGCGCGGCAAAAAACGCCGUCUCCACCCCGCCCCUGACUCAUUCUCGCUCUCCAUCUCUCUGUCUCUCUCGAGCGUAACCCUAGGCGCGGCGGCGGCGGCGUGGCGGCGGCGGCGCAGGGGGAGGCAAUGGAAUAGGGGCGCAUGUCCAUGGCAGACGUGCCCCCGUGCACGGCGCAGCGCAGGGCGCCGCGGAUGGGGGAUAGCAACGAAAGGUAAUGUUUUGUCCUUCCAGAGCACGAAUACGAGUGCAUUAGGUCUUGAUCUGUUGAUUGGCAUUAGAUAUUGAUGUGAUUUGGUUGAUGCUAGGGUUCCGCUAUUUUCUUUAGAAAUUAAAGUGGAAGCAUUCUGUUGGAGAGACUCUUUGGGUAGGAAAGCUUACACAAAGGGCUCUGUAAUUAAGUGGGAUGUGGAGAUUGGCUCGUUUUCAUUUGAUGUACUGAUGGCCAGCUUGCGCAAUGCUGUCAAUUGCUCUACUACUCAGUGUCCAGUUGCUUGGUUCUAUGAUAAAAGGUUGUCUCAAGAUGUCAUGCUAGAAAAUCAAUUCCAGAUUAAUGAUAUGUUUGAGAUGUAUAAGGAGGAGAUGCAUUGCCACAUUGUCGUAGGGGUAUUUGAUCAGUCUGUUCCCACUAUUGAUCAAUUUGAUGAACUAGAUCUUCCUCCUGACACUAGCACUGGCAACCCAGCCAGUACUGACAGUUAUGUUAACCAGCCCACAUUUGAGGCAGAUGUUGCACCAGAGGCUGAAGUUGAGACUCAACUUGAGCCUGAUAGGGAACCUGAUAUGUUUGAUAACGAUGAGGAGUAUGUGGGUUGUGAUGAUGAGGGCAUGUACAUGCCAACACCACCAACACAGCCUCCUAGUAAUUCACCUCCACAUGCUUCUCAUGAUGCUGAAAAUGCUGAUGCUGAUGCUGAUGCUUUUCCUGUUGAGGCAGAGGUCACUGAUGCAGACCCUGAAGAGAUCAAUAUCAUUCAUGACCCAGAACAUCCCAAGAUUGUAAAGGGGGAGUUAUUUCCUGAUAUUGUUUCAUUCAGGAAAGCUAUCAGGCAUUUCUCUGUUACUAAAGGCUAUGUGUUAGCUGGUAUCAAAACAGACCCAUCAAGAUUUAUUGCAAAGUGCAAAUCCGAGGGAUGUCCUUGGCGCAUACAUGCAUCUAGGCUGCAGGGUAGAAAGACAAUACAGGUAACUGUCUAUUCACUAGUUCCUUUGUGCAAGUUUUAUUUUUUCUUUACCUGACAUGUUUCGUAUGCACAGAUCAAAGUACUGCCUGCAGAAGAUGGCAUCACAGUCUUGGUGUGCAGAUAGGCUGGCAGAUUGGAUAAAAAAACAUCCAACAAAACGUGCAAAAGAGUGCAGGGAGAAGUUGGAAGAUGAUUAUGGCAUCAAGCUGAAGUAUUCAAAGGCUUGGUCAGGUAUGCAGUGCGCAUUGGAUCAAAUCCAUGGUAAAUAUGAGGAAAGUUUUCAACUGCUAUUCAAUUGGGGUGCUCAAAUUGAAAAGGUAUCUCUUGGUAGCACUGUAGUGGUAGAGGUUGACAAAAUUGGUAAGAAGAACAGAUUCAAAAGAAUGUUUGUUGCUCUAAAGCCUUAUGUAGAUGGAUUCUUGGCUGGUUGUAGGCCUUUUUUGGGUAUAGAUGCAUCUUGUUUGAAUGGAAAGUAUAGAGGUCAGCUAGCUUCAGCAACCAGUGUAGAUGGACAUAAUUGGUUGUAUCAUGUAGCUUAUGGCAUUUUUGACAUAGAAAAUGAAGACAACUGGACAUGGUUCUUGCAACUUCUUAGUAGAGCAAUUGGGCCUGUCCCAAAUCUUGUAGUUUGUACAGAUGCAUGCAAAGGCGUGGAGAAUGCAGUGGGUAAAACUUUUCCAACAGCUGAGAAUAGGGAAUGCAUGAGACAUAUGUACCAAAACUUUUAUGAAGCACUAUUCUAGUGAUGUAUUCACAGACCACCUUAUCCUACAGCUAGAAGUUACACUCAAGAAAAAUUCCAGUGGCACAUGAAUCAGAUACAUGAGUAUGCUCCUCAAGCUAUAGAAUAUAUUGAGAAUUACCACAGCAGGAUAUGGUACAGGUGUGGGUUCUCAGAAAGUAGCAAGUGUGAUUAUUUGACCAACAAUGUGUCAGAAAGCUUCAAUGCACAGGUGAAGCACCUCAAAGGUUUAUUAUUACAUGAACUGGUAGAUGUUGAUAUUUGGUAACGCAAUAAGGAAAUAAUCCGCAAGCGCACGGAUAUCGGUGAGCAUUUCACCCGGGAGGUUUUCCAGAGUAUCGUAUUUAUAUUUUUACCACUGGGAGAAAGGGUGCAUCUGACUAACCAAAUCUAUUGCUACUAUCCCUUUAGGCUACAAAGAAUGUUUCUCAAUGUGAGUGAUAUAUAGAGAAGACUGCAACCGUAGUCUCGUUCUAACCUUGGUAAGGAUGAUCUACUGUUCUAUUGGGGAAGCUUACGGAAUCUAGACACCACAAAGGAUGUUUGACCCGCACCUAUAAACCUACCCGUCCUGCUAACAAGAUAUGGGAUACAAAGGUAACUCGGAAAUGUCACGUUCCUCGCUACUACCACGGUCCAGCUAGUCAGGGGAUAUCUAUGAGUACCCUAGUGAAAGGUCCUAAUAUGGCUAGAGGGGGGUGAAUAGCCUAUUUAAAAAUUCUACAAACUCACUAGAGCGAGAGGUUAGUAAAUAACAAAGCGAAGCCUUUUGCUCUAGCUCUAAUGGGGUGUUUGCAAGCCACCUGUCCAACAAUUCUAGUUGAUAUAAUCACUAGACACACAAGAGCUAUGUCACUACUUACACUAGAAAGCUACCUAAAGUUUCUAUACAAGUAAGUAAGCUACUCUAGUUUGCGGGAAUGUAAAAGAGAUGGUUUUAACUUUAUACCGCCGCAUAGAGGGGAUGAACCAAUCACUAAUAUGAAGUCCAAUCACCGGGAGAAAUCCAAUGAACAAUCACAAUGGAUACACACAAUUUUACUCCCGAGGUUCACGUGCUUGCCGGCACGCUACGUCCCCGUUGUGUCGACCAACACUUGGUGGUUCGGUGGCUAAGAGGUGUAGCACGAACCUCGUCCUCACUAGGACACCACAAGAACCUACCCACAAGUGAGGUAGCUCAAUGACACGAGCAAUCCACUAGAGUUACCUUUCGGCUCUCCGCCGGGGAAGGUACAAGACCCCUCACAAUCACCGGGAGAUGGCCACGAACAAUCACCAACUCGUGCUAAUCCUCCUCCGUUGCUCCAAGCCGUCUAGGUGGCGGCAACCACCAAGAGUAACAAGAAAACCGCAGCUAGAACGAUCCCCAAGUGCCACUAGAUGCAAUCACUCAAGCAAAUUCACUUGGAAUCACUCCCAAUCUCACAAAGAUGUUUAAUCUAUGAAGGAGAUGAGUGGGAGGUGUUUGCUUAGGCUCACAAGGAUGUUAUGUAUGUUAGAAUGCCAAGAGAGUGAGCCCCAAGCCGGCCAAACACGUAUUUAUAAGCCCCUCAAGCAAAUAGAGCCGUUGGCACUUUCACUGGGCAAACUGCGGGGUCACCGGACGCUCUCAAAGGGGCACCGGACGCUCAACACCAGCGUCCGGUGCUCCAACGUCAGCCAUGUGUCGCCUUUUGAAAAACUCGUGUCAGAGUCUAACGGUCACCUGCAGUGCACCGGACGCUAAGCAAGUUAGCACCGGACGCGUCCGGUGCACACCGGACUCAUGCGCAGAGAGCUCCGCAAACUCGCACGGUCACCGGACGCAAGCCACCGGACGCACCCUGAGCAUCCGGUGCUCACCGAACUCAUGCGCAGAGAGGGUUGCAAAACGCCCUCACACCGGACGCUAACCACCGGAAGCGUCCGGUGCUCACCGGACCCAUGCGCAGAGAGGGUCGCAAAACGCCCACACACCGGACGCGCACCACCGGACGCUCAAGCCAGCGUCCGGUGCCUAUCGUCCGGUGCCUUACCCUAGCUGGGCCAGGCACUGUCUGCACCGGACGCUCAGACGCAGCGUCCGGUGCUCCAGAAGCCAGCGUCCGGUGAGUGUUUUCUCAGCGAGAAACACUCCCACGACUACUCCAAAUUUCCUACCGACGCAAUAGAAAAUAUGCAUUUUAUUUUCUCGAAAAGCGCCGAAUCCCACCUCGCAAGCUCGGCGGGAGGGAGAGAGGAACCCAUCCUCUCUCUACGUACUCUUCAAACUCCACCUCCUUCUCAAAGUGUGCCAACACCACAAGUGUAAACCAACAAGUGUGCACGUGUGUUAGCAUUUUCACAAUCAUUUUCUUAGAAGGAGUUAAGUUAGCUCACUAGGUUCUAAAUGCAUACACAUGAACAAUGACACCUAGUGGCACUUGAUAACCGCUUAGCCAAAGAAUUCCCCUCUUUAUAGUACGGCUAUCUAUCCUAAAUGUGAUCACACCCUCUAUGGUGUCUUGAUCACCAAAACCAAAACCCUAAGCAAUACCUUUGCCUUGAUCUCCAUAGGGUUUUGUUUUUCUCUUUCUUCUUUUCCAAGUUGAGCACUUAAUCAUCUUGUGGUCAUCACCAUGAUCAUCAUGAUCAUCACUUGCUCCAUCACUUGGCAUGUACCAACCUCAUUAAGUCUACACACACUUAGUAUAGAGGUUAGUACUAGGGUUUCAUCAAUUAUCCAAAACCAAACUAGGGCUUUCACCUAGCCUAAACACCACGUUUACGCUAGCAAUAAUUACUCUAAUACUCAACCGGAAGAGGAUUAAAUUAAACUCAUAAACCAAAGAACAAUAAAACAAGAACUUACUAGAAUUAGAAGUCGAAUUACUGAAGAAUCUUAGAAGCAAGCCUCGGGUUAGAAGACUUGAUCCCGCAGGUACAACUCGGAGUAGACACCGACAGGUCGGCCUUCCUCCGAUCUACACCUCCACUCUAUCUCUCUCAAUCUAGUAGAAACUAGAAGAUCUAUUUCUACUUACAUUGGUUGCUAAGCCUAAAAAAAUAUUAUUUAGAGAAGAGGUUUUCCUUCGAGGGCACCCCUCAAUCUCUAUGAUAACUUCUUGUCUUCUCCAGGGGCCAGGGGGGUCUCCUUAUAUAGUCCUCCUCCUCUAUGCGUUUUUGGGUCGGUAGGCGAUGUGGUACUACAUUAUCCUUGAUCCAUUAGGUCGGUGGAACAUCGUGUGCGAAGAGAGUCCCGAACGGAGUCUAGGACACGGCGGGCGCCCAGGGAAAGAGGGCGGGCGCCCUGGGCCUGGCCCCUUUCGGCCUCUGCUUUCUUCCCGUGGCUUCUGGAGUCUUCUAGAUGGUAGAAAAUUACGCGGUGCGUUGAUAUCUCUAUGUAAUCCCGACAUGUGGGCCUUUCUUCCGUAUUUUUUGAUAACCCCCUGCAGAAAUAGACAAACACCAAAACUCAUGGAAUUCUGUCAGAUAAAACCCUAAGUCUAGAUGUUGAUUUCAUUUGGAUCCUUUUCUUUGUUUAUUUGAUAAUUAAAUUUGAUACUUAAGGACCGUCAACAGUAGACAGAAUUAGAGAGCUUAUAAUGGAGAAGAGAUAUUUGAGGAAGAAAGUUGCUAGGCAGUGGGAAGAUGGAAUCCUCCCAAAUGUGAUGAAGGAUUGUUGGGUAUUCUUAACAUCAUUACCAAAAGUAGACUAAGUUCUCUAAAUCUAGUAACGGUGCCAAAAAUGCCAAACCUAUCCCUCACACCACUUAAGCCAAGUUGUCAUCCCCAGCAUGACAUGAGAGACGCGGUAUUGAAAUAUGCAAUUGCUCUUCUAAAUAAAUAAUGAAUGAGAUCUGCAAGCGCACAGAUUAAUACCGAUGUAGCAUUUUAACCGGGAAGUAUUCUAGGUAUCGUUAUUUAUAUUUUUACCACUGGGAAGGGAUUAGCAAUCAUCACUAUUGAUUACAGAAUAGAAUAUGAGAUUGAGCAUCUAUCAUUGCAUGUAUAAUUGAGAACAUUUAUCUAACUCUUCAUACAGGGAUAAGUGUCACAUAAAAGAUAUAUGAAAUAAUAAUAGUGACAAGGAUAACUAAUCUGAUCUAGCCACAUAAUAAAUAUGAUAAGCACCUCAAUUAGAUACUCUAGAAAGUCAUUAGCAUGGUAUUAGAACGAACUAUAAGAAUAUUCCCUAAGUUAUUCUCAACUAUAUAGUUUAGCAUUAUCAUAGUUAGUGCAAGCAUACUUAGCAAUCAUUGUGAGACAAGACUACGCCCAUGCAUAGUGAUAUUAGCAAGGAAUAUGAGAAACAUAGCAAUCACUCCCCUAUAAUAAUGUUGCUCUGCCAGCCCAAUACACGAGAGGGGGACUAUAUAAGAAUCAAUGAAGCUGUCACUAUCACGAACCACCCCACGAUCUGGCAUAUUGGGUACAAUCGCAGAUAAAUAUGGUAUAAGCACCACGCCUACACAAUAUCUAUCAUUUACCCAUGGAUCCGAUGGAUAAACGCUAUACGAUCCUAAGCAUGUAUAUAGAUCGAAUCUAACUAAGCCAAGUACAUAACUAUGAUAAACUAAGAACAAUAUAAUCUUGAAUAUAAGCAAGUAGAGCAAAGUCAUAAGCAAUAUAUUGAAGUAGAACAAAGUCAUAUUUAUAAUAUUGAAGAACAAAGAUAAUUAGAAAGUAAUUAGAAGCACAAUUAGAGAAUUACCAAGAAUCCUCUUGACAGAUCCGGAAACCAAUCGAAGAUUGACUCCUUCUAGUUCUAAUCCUAUGUAGCUAUGCUAAUCUAGAUAUCUAAUUGAUGUGGUGGCUCUAAUCUUGAUCAGAGGCUUCUUCUCCCUUGAAGAACAAUGAAUUAGGGUUGAGAGGCUCCCCCCUCUAGGGGCCAGGGGGUCUGGUUUUAUAGUCCCUUCAAGUGAAUAUGGGCCGUUGGAUCAAACCGACAUAGAUUGUAUGGUUUAGAUUCAUCCUUUAGGUCGGUGGAAAUCUCCCACGAAGCAGAGUCCUGAUUGGACUCAGGAGGUGGGCGGGCGCCCUGAUCACCUGGGCGGGCGCCCAGGGUCACGCCCCGUUUCGCCUCCGCUUCGGUUUCGUGGCUUCUGGAGUCUUCUAGAUGUAAGAUAAUUGCGCGACACGUUAAUAUCUCUAUGUAAUCCCGACGUGUGGGCCUUUCUUCCGUAUUUCCUGAUAACCCCCUACAGAAAUAGACAAACACCAAAACUCGUGGAAUUCUGUCAGAUAAAACCCUAAGUCUAGAUCUUGAUUUCAUUUGGAUCCUUUUCUUUAUUUAUUUGAUAAUUAAAUUUGAUACUUAAGGACCAUCAACAAGGAUCUCAACCUGAUCAGUACUCAACUCAAUGUAGUCAAGGUCAAAGUCAGUGAUGAUAACACUGCUGAAGUUACAAUCCUGGAGUGGGAGAAGCAAAGGAGGCACACUGUGGACCUAGGAAACCACAAUUGUUCCUGCAGGCAGUGGCAAGUGACUGGAAAGCCAUGUAAGCAUGCUUUGGCUUGGAUACUGUCAAUCCCAGGGAUGAGAAUUGAGGAUUAUGUACAUGAGUACUAUUCAGUUGCUAGAUUUAAGGCAGCUUAUGCUGAUAGGAUUGAGCCUAUCCCAGACAAGGAUGAAUGGCCUGUUGUCAACCUUGGUUUUAAAGUGUAUCCUUCAUUGCUAGGCAGAGGUCCAGGAAGGCCAAGGGUUGUAAGAAUUAGAGGGACUUUUGAGCAGAGGGCCACGAAGAAGAAAGUUAGGUGCAAGAGAUGUGGUGACUUUGGACAUUUUUCCAAGACCUGCAAGUUGCCAGAACUAGGUGAAGAUGGAGAAAGAGGACAAGGGUCUUCAAAAAGGUAUUAAAACUAUUGUCUAACCAUUUUAUUAUUUUUUCCUAUGUACUAAGAUCUAACCGGCUAUUGUCAUCUCAACGCAGAAAGAGGCCGACUCAGCAAGUGUCAUCACAGGAAGCUCCAACGCAGGAAGUACCAACACAGGAUGAUGCUGGACCUUCCCAGGUGAAGAAGACCAAGCCUCUGAAGAAGGUUACAACUAAGAAGAAGAAGAAGACACCAAAGAAAACAAAGCUGCAGAGGGAAGCAGCUGCACCUGGGAAGGCUGUUAUCAGCAGCAUCAGGCACCUGAUCUAUGAUGCUCCACAGGAUGCUGAUCUAUGAUUCUCCACAGGAUGCUGAUCUAUGAUGCUCCACUUAUAUGGCUUUGUUCUGAACCUUACUAUGUAAUGAGGCAUUAGAAUGCCAACUUGGAACUUGUAUGGCUGAUGCUGCUACUAUGUAAUGAGGCAUUAGAACUUGCCAACUAUUUUCAGUCAUGUGAACUCUACUUAUGUUAGUUUGUACUCUCCUGUAUUGUGUCAAUUAUCAUGUGAACUCUACUUAAAAUGUUAAGAAAACAAGACAAAGUGCUGCAGAAAUUCUAAUAUAUUUUGAAGCUGAAAUUCUAAUCUAUUUUCAGUGACAAAAGGCAUAGGACAAUGCUGAUCAUACUCAUCGAAGAAACUCAGUGACAAAAUGCUUGUUCUUUCAUUGCAAAUACACAUAAUUACAGUCACUUCAUCAUCUGAGAAAAACCUACACCUAGCAGUACACCCACAAGGACACCUACAACAACAGAUACAUCCAACACAAUUUGCAUUUUCCCCUUCCUGCCCAAGUCCAGUGCUGGACUCUGAUUACUAACUUGACUAGGAACAGCAACAACAUCUCUGUCUCCAAGUUGCACCUUCAUUUUCUCAAGUUCAGUGACAACUCUAUCUAGAGUUUGCUUCAUCUCCUUGUCCCGUUGAUUCAAAUCAUCAUUAGGAUCCCCAACUGCUGAAUGAAGGGGCAACUGCAGCUGAAUCUCUUUCUCCUUUUGCUUCAUAAACCAUGCCUCGUACUGCUCCUCCGAACGAAUCCAGCCACAAGUUGUUGGAUCACCCUGUGCAAGCAACACCAGUCAAAUUGAAAACAAAGGAAGCACAUUCAAGGGCAUAAACAAUGCAAAUAGUUACCUUUACGUUGUUUGGGCACUUGAUGAAUGCGACAUCCUUUGAGUGCUCUUGCUUGCUCACGAUUCGGAUCAAAGGAACAUUGCACACUGGGCAGUUCAGUAGGGGGCACUGCACCCUUCUACUGCCAGCAGCGGAAGAGCUCGAGGCCAUCUUCAUCUGCAGCGCCGCCGUCGGGAUCGUGGCACCGGAAUCGCCGCCGCCGCGCCUAGGGUUACGCUCGAGAGAGACAGAGAGGUGGAGAGCGAGAAUGAGUCAGGGGCGGGGUGGAGACGGCGUUUUUUGCCGCGCCGUUUAGAUGGCUCACGGCGACGGGCGCAUACGGUCGACCGUAUGCCACGUCGGCUUGCAAGCAGGCCCAAGCGUCCUUCUACCGUAUCCAAUGGCAUAUUUCAAAUUUUGCAAGAAUUGUAAUGGUCCGCUUCAGGAUACCUGAAUUAUAAUGGCAUAUUUCAAAUACUUUGAAAUUGUAAUGGCACCGUUCAAAAAAACCCAUUCCAAAAUAGAAAGUCCUUUUCCUUCCCAAACAGAAAACCAUGUUUAUCUGCCAACAGUUUCUAACCCAUGGGUCCCACGGGUGCCAACGGUUUCCCUCUUGAUCCUCCCCAAUCGCCCGCUCACACCACCACGCCGCCACGCCGCUCAUCGUUAACUUCCUGCCCUCCACGGACUUAUCCGCUCGUCGCGCCCGCCUCAAGCUAAUGACGAAUCUAAUGAGUAGAAGAGUGAGGGCAUGUGUCCUUAAGGAAAAAAAACGUCUUCGACCAGAAAUCUCCACCUGCCGCGCUGUGGAGUUCUCGUGCUGGGGCUCCUCCCCGUGCGUCGCCACGGUGCCGUGGCUGACCACACGAGCGCGGCUUGGCAUGCGUCUAAAGAUACAGUGGCCGUUGUUGGAGAUGACCUUGAAGCUGUGCAUCUGCCAUUCUGCCUUCCAUUGGUGCCUAUGGGGUACACUGUCAAACAGCGCUGGUGCCCCCUCCAUCGGCGCGGGAGGAAGAAGAUGACCAGGUUGAGCGGUGUGGAACCGUCGUAAACGAAUCUGCGCGGUUUCUCCCAACACGGUUGACUGUGGGCUGAUUUACGGGUACACGGUUAGUAUACAGCAUCGUACAUACCACUCAUAUAUAUAGUCAUAUAUAACAUCUCAAGUCCAUACACGGCACACUGCUUAGAGAACCUUUAUUUAUUUUGUAUGAAAAAGGGACAUGAAAGAAAACCAUUCUCCGAAUAUAUCAAAACAUGUAUAAGGCUGCCCGUGAAGUAGAAUCGCAUCCCCAUCCACAGAUUUAGUUGUAGGCGUCGGGGUUGGCGACGAGGUAGGCCUCGGCACCCUUGAAAAUGGCGGUGAGUGCCUCCUUGGCCUUGGCUUCCUCGUCCUUCUCGUCCAUGCCCGGCAGCAACUUGUAGGUCGACUCCACCUUCACCACGCUGCCGCCGUCGGCCGUGGGCUCCACCUUGAUGUGUGACGCCGCGGUCUCGAUGGCAACACCGAUGCCGCCGCCCUCGACGAGCGUGUUCUUGCACUCGCACUUGUCCACGUCCAGGAAAUCGAGCCUCUCCUUCAUGAAGCUGAACGGCAUGACUGCAAGAACGAUCGCGCACGUCAUUCGCUAGCUAUUUGAUCGAUCGAUCGGGCGACAACAUGUUGGUCUGGGCGACUGGGCAUGCUGCGGACACUUACAUGAGGUGAAGUUGAACUGCCUGACGCUGCCAACGCCGCCGUCGCCCUCCACGGGGUGGGCGCUGGCGACGACGUGGGAGGCGACCUUGGGCGCCAGGGUGUGCCAGUCCAUCACGGCGGCGCGGAACAGGCGCGGCGCGGCCACCGGCGACGGAAUCUCCAGGGUCCAGCUGCUGGCGGAGGCCAUUACUUCAGUGAUCGGCCGAGAUAAACUAAACUAGGUGCGAGCCGAAGCUGCUUAGGUGCUUGUGCUGCUGCAGGUGGUUUUAGGAUUGCGCUUUUGCUUGCGUUGCCAUUAGAGUGGCGGACGGAGGACUUUAAAUAGGCGGUUAUGGCGGGGUUGGUGGCGUCCCGUGAGGAUGAGACGCUCGGGAGUCGUCGUCGGCGGCUCUUCCCACUUUGGCUUGGCACGGCACCGUCGCUCGUCGGUCCAUGUAGUUCAUUAUAAUAUACUACAUGUUGCCGGGGUUGCGGACAAACGUCUGGAAACGUGCUGCCAUUCCGUCAGCGUUCAACCCCUGAAGGUGUAGAAUAUAUAUCGUCGAAUUGGCGAGCCAAAUCAGCUUCCAGAUCAAAAAGCAUGUACUGUAAGCGUGGGUUGGUGUCAUUAGAAACGAGAAUUAUACCGUACGUGAGCGUCCUGACUACUUGCAUCACUCUUUUGGUGUCGCACUGUCGCUAUUAACUACUAAUAAUAAACAUAAUCCUGUAAAUCCACCUCUUUUUAAUCAUCCUAUAAAUACCUCUACUGGCGACAGCAUGGACAAAGCUCAUACGGAAAAUAACAUAGUGGUGGCCAAAGCUGUAUGGGAAAAUAUUGAUUGCAGACUAUCAAUUGGGUGCAAAAGUACUCAGUGUAAACUAUUAAUUAAGUGCAAAUAUAAAGACAAUUGCUAUGUCACAGUUGAUUGUUUUAGCCUCCGUGAAUAACUGAUUUCCUGGCCGUUUGAUUCUUAUCACGUGGGAUGAAAGAAAGACCAACAACGCUGCGGAAGCAGAGCGUGAGGAAGGACCGAAGGAGCCACCAGGGGUCCACUGAUGUCGCCAUUAGCACCAAGGAGAGGCCGUCGUCAGAGUCAGAGUCAGGGUUGUAGAGGGCUAUCACGUCCGUUGUCGAGGUCGGGGUGGGGUAAAGAUGGCAAUGGAUAAUUACCCGCUGGGUAUAUGCUACCCAUACCUUUACCGAUGAGAAAAUAUUUUACCCGUUAAUUUACAUAUCCAUGUAUGGGUAAGAGUUUUUUCCCAUACCCUUACCCACGUGGGUAACGGGUAAUCCAUGAGUUUUCUUACCCAUGAUUCUAAGAAUACUUGUAAAAAAUAAAUACAUAUUUAAAUAUUCUAGACUCCCAAUUUCAGCCAAAGUAUCAUAAGUCAUUAAUAAAAUCAUCAAAUAUACAAGCUCCAUGAAUACCUAAUCAAGUAAUCUAAUAGAUAAAUCCAUCAUUACUAGACAACAAGUGACAAAAUUUACAAGUUUCCGUGUUGUGCGGCCGCCGCAAGGAGAUAGGGGAAAGGUGAGAGAGCGGAUGUGUGAGGUACUAAGGUGAGGGCCUAGAGUUUGACAGCAUUAUAUAUGAUUUUUAUUGGACUUGGCCUGUGUAUGGUGAUUUUGGUCCAUAAUUCUAACUUAUUGAAUCGGGUCCAAUCCCAUACCCUUACUCGCUUUACCCGCUGGCUAAAGCUUUUUCCCAUUAUCUUACCUAUGGAUAAAAAAAAUAGUCAUACCUUUACCCUAAUGAAGUAAUUAACCAUCGGAUUUCGAGUAAAAAUUGACAUCUUUAAGGUGGGGAAUGGCCGCCGCAUCUACCAUAGCCACCUGCUUCCUGAGAUCCAUGGGGAAAGAGCCCGCCGCUAGCCGAGGGUGAGGAGCCGCCGCCUCUGUGUGGCCAACUUCAUGUCGGGCCUCUACCGUGGCGGGGGUAGCUCACAGAAGGGAAGGGAUAAAGUUGGUGAGGGUGGGUCCCACCAUAAUUGGUGAAUAAUUUGCCAUGUAUUUCUCUAAUAUCUACUAUCUAAAGAAAUAUUUUGUAUUUUUUUCUGAAAAGUUUGGCAUAUUUGUCUUUGAGAUAUGUAAUCUAUAAAAAUACCUAAGAUAUAUCACUAUAUCCAAUAAAUGACACUAUGUGUUAGCAUUUUCUCACUACAUUUUCAAAGGUGUUAACACACUAGAUUCUAAUGCAUAUGCAUUAUCAACAACAGCUAGUGACACUUGAUAAACCGCUUUUAACCAUAAUUUUCCUCUCUUUAUAGUACAGCUAUCUAGUCGACUAGUCCAAACCCAAUUAUAUCCUCUAUGGUAUCUUGAUUGGCGAAACAAGAAUGGCCCUAUCACAUACCUUUGCCUUAAGCUCAUUUUUAUUUUUCUCUUUCUUUUUUUCCAAGUUGGAGCACUUGAUCUUCACACUUGACCACCUCCAUCAUCUAUAGAUGCCAUAAUCUAGCUGGUGUGUACCAAUCCUAUUUCCUAUCUUAUAUACACCUAAAGCAAUGGUUAGUAGACUUAGAUCUCAUCAAUUAUCCGAAACUAAACUAGAACUUUCAUGUAGUGACACAACAUCUACUUUCUCUCACCCUUCCUCUUUCAUGGAAUGCAAGCAUUCAUACAUCAUUAGUAUGUUGUAUGUAAUGAGUCUCUCUAGCACAAACACCGACUGUUCUUCCGAAAUCACCUUUGGGAAAAAAUAAUCCACAGUCUGUUUGCCACCGUCUUAGAAGCAAUCUUAUAUAUCAUGUUACAUAGACUGAUGAUAGGCCAAAACAGCCCGCUCGACCAACUUCUCCACUUUUGUGAUCAAUACUAUUCAUGUGCUAUUUAUCACAGAAGGAUCAUCCUCGCCACAUAAGUCCUAGUGCCGCUAAAAAAAAUGAGCAGGAAAACCAUCUGGCCCCGGCGUUUUUGUCUUAAACAUGUGAGAAAGCUUAGUCCUGAUCUCCUCCUUUCGUAUACAAGGCGAGUGUCCUGACAACUACUUGCAUCACUCUUUUGAUGUUGCACUAUCGUUGUUAGCCUUAUCAUUAACUCCUUUCCUCUCUAAUCUCUAGAAUUAAGCAAAGAUUUGAAUGCUUUCUCAAUUUACCAUCAUAUAAUUAUUAUAUUAUAAUAUAAUCAAAUAAAUACACCUCUUUUUAUUCAUCCCGCAAAUAUAUCUAGUGGCAAUGAGUAUGGAAAGAGCUAAUACGAAAACUAUCAUAGUGGUGGCCAAAUACAUGAGAAAAUAUUCAGUGCAAACUAUAGAUUGGGUGCAAACAUAAACCCUUUAUAACAUAAUUAGAUGUUUUCUUAAAAAAAUGCCCACUUCGCCACUAAAGUUAAGAUACAAAGAAAUGGGGUGGGGGUGUGAUGCAAAGAUAUUGGAGAGUGAAUCUCUUCUUUCAAACCUCCCAAGAAACUAGUCACAAAGUAAACAUAAUCGUAGGAGCUAUUGUACAAUAGAAUUUGAUGCGCAGGCUGUUCAAGCUACUCAAAUUACUGUGACCGAACUAGUCUACUGAAGAUGAUUGUUUCAUACAUAACUCAUAUUGGUCACGAUUAAAAUAAUUACAAACCGCAUCACAAGAGCAGGCCAAGAUGUGAAACAACCACACAACUCUUUAAAUUGUAACCAAGUGGCAGCGGUCCUCCAGAACUCAAUGCAACAGAGCUAGGCUUCAAUGUCUCGCUGAUAGAGUACAUCUCAAAAUAGAUCUUACAGUGAUCCUUCCACAACCAUAAAUUGUCACCAUCAAAUUUGGGGAAAUAUGAUUUGGGCAUCGGACCAACUGGAGAUGUAUAAGAAUAUGAAUGUUCCAUCGGUCCACCUAUCAUUCCCUUGUACUUGCGUGCCCGUUAGUUAGCUAUUAUGUUCCUCUUUUUUAUUGGAUCCCAAACACCUCUGCUUCUAGACCAACUUCCAUCGUCGUCUACACAUAUCCCAUGGAGUUAGAGCAAGUUUAAUUAAUACAGUCCACUUGCUGACUGUAAGGUUCCUUACAGCCUUCUUUCAGCCCCACCCAUACAAUAGUUAGUUAUUCAUUAUUAAUACAUGACUCACUUAUCUCUCUUACAAAGUUUUCAGCUUACAACAUGCUUCUCUUCUCUCUCCUCCACCUCAGUAUUUAGCCAGCUUACAGCCCACUAUAAUACUUGCUCUUAUGACAAAUGCCUACUUCUCUCGCCUUUUUAGUGAACACUAUAACUCCUGGAGUCUUCAUAUUAUUCGAAAAAUAAAUUCAAAUUUCAACAAUGACACAUUCAGCAGAAUAAAAAGUCUCCAAAUUUCUAUUAAAAAAGAGCAAACAUUCCUUAUUCAGUCAAACUUGCAAAGGAUUUCAAAACAGAAGACCUCGUAUAACCAUGAGGGUGUAAGUAAUCUCACAAACAAAGCAUCACAAACCACUUAUAAUCUCAAGUCCAUACACGGUACACCACACACUGCAUAGAGCAACUUUAUUUUGUUUUGUAUGAAAAAAGAGGAAAACUCCAGGAAAGAAAAAAGAAAAUUAAACCCAAACUUCAGGAAGGGGAAUCGCAUCCCAAUCGACUGAUUUAGUUGUAGGCGUCGGGGUUGGCGACGAGGUAGGCCUCGGCACCCUUGAAAAUGGCGGUGACUGCCUCCUUGGCCUUGACUUCCUCGUCCUUCUCGUCUACGCCAGGCAGCAGCUUGUAGGUCGACUCCACCUUCACCACGCUGCCGCCGCCGGCCGCGGGCUCCACCUUGAUGUGCGACGCCGCGGUCUCGAUGGCAACACCGAUGCCGCCGCCCUCGACGAGCGUGUUCUUGCACUCGCACUUGUCCACGUCCAGGAAAUCGAGCCUCUCCUUCAUGAAGCUGAACGGCAUGACUGCAAGAACGAUCGCGCACGUCAUUCGCUAGCUAUUUGAUCGAUCGAUCGGGCGACAACAUGUUGGUCUGGGCGACUGGGCAUGCUGCGGACACUUACAUGAGGUGAAGUUGAACUGCCUGACGCUGCCAACGCCGCCGUCGCCCUCCACGGGGUGGGCGCUGGCGACGACGUGGGAGGCGACCUUGGGCGCCAGGGUGUGCCAGUCCAUCACGGCGGCGCGGAACAGGCGCGGCGCGGCCACCGGCGAUGGAAUCUCCAGGGUCCAGCUGCUGGCGGAGGCCAUUACUUCAGUGAUCGGCCGAUCGACUAAACUUGUGCUAGCUGAAGCUGGUUAGGUGCUCAGCUCUAUGGGUGGCAGCUACUGCUUGUGUUGCCAUGACACUGGCGGACUGAGGGCUUUAAAUAAUAGGCCGUUAUGGCGGGGGUUGGUGGCGUCCCGUGAGGAUGUGUAUGAGACGCCCGGGACGGAGUCGUCGUCGGCUCUUCCCACUUGGGUUGGCUUGGCACGGCACCGCGUGACUCAUCGGUCCAUUAGUCCAUUAUUUUAUCGAUAUCAAUAUGUAUGUUGCCGGGCUGCGGACAGCCGGACACACGUCACCAAACGGGCUGCCAUUCCGUCAACGUUCAACAUCUAGAAGGUGUGGAAUAUGUCGUCGAAUGGCACACCGUCGGGUCUGUUUGGAACGAAAGUGAGAGAAAAUACAGGAAAUAGAUAAGGAAUACAAUGGUCCUGUUUAAGUUAGAGGUUAGAGUUAUUCUCUAGUUUAUGACUAGCCCUCAAGUAACUCUAGCCAAAGAGAUGUUUGUAUGCAAGGGUUAGUGUUGAUGCAAAACUGAUCUGCAAACACAAAGGGCUAAUACCCGAUCCAAACGUUAAGGCGUGCCAGCCGAUUUAACCUUACUAUCGGCAAAGGUGAUAACUCGAAUACUUUAGUCCUGACAACAGCGAUGCGCCCGGAUGUCACGGCUAAGAGGUACUCACGCGGAACUUGAGAACACGCCGAGCUUAAGUCGACGAAUUCCUAAGAACUCGUAGUAAAAAGGAAAAAGUACGACGAAGUCGUCGAAAAAGUAGAUGCUGGAAUAUGAGUAAAAACGUGUGUUUGAUUGAUUGAUAGAUAGCUCAUUACAAGGCCCUAGGGUCUAUAUUUAUACCCUGCUCAAAGAGCUACAACCAGACACGAUUAGAAUUCGAAUUCCAAACUACACGGAAUCCGUAUACAAAACGAUGUAAAUAAUUAAAGAAAUAACAAAACUAUCCCCCGUGACAAACUGAAACUCCUCCAUACAACGACCGGCAGCUUCCGGACUCCCUCUUUGCAUCAUCGGCAGAUCUUUUGCCAUAGUCAUCGGCAGACUUUCUUAUCCAGUCAUCGGCACAAUCAUAUCACUGCCUGUAGACUUAGUCACGUUCAACUUCUCCUUCAUCGGCAACCAUCCUCAUCGGCAACUCACCCUGUAAACAUCGUACUGCCAUCUUAUCCUGCCAUCCUAGACACGUGCACAAAAACGGUGUCAACACAUGCCCCCCAGUUUCGGAGUAUAAAACUAUUAAUGCUCCGAAAUUCUCUGCAGUAAUGAUGCCUUUUCCCGCAAUUAAUGCUCCUAAUCUGGUAACCGACAACCUCAAUCUGAACAACUCUGAUCCUAUUCCUCCGCAGAUUCCUCGAAAUCCCCAACUUCCUAAACGGGCAUUUCUUCUCAGUCGUACGUCGGCAAUAAUACCGUUACAAAGAUUUGCCGAUGUUCUGACCAGGAUAUUCGCACAAAUGGUUACUUCCCCUCGAUCCGCCCAUCGGCAAUAUGACCGUUAUAGAAUGCUGCCGAUGGACCGACCAGGAGAUCUAGCACAGUAAAAUAUCUUCAGAUAAUGACCGCUUCCCGUCAAAUCACCUGCACAAUCCCUGGAUUAUCGUGCGAACAGUUACCAUAUCUUCCUGAGUACCCUCGGAUCUCUCGGAAGCGGCAAAGAGAAAAGUCAGAUUUGCCCUUGCCCAUUUCGUCCUAUAAAUAGUUCCUUCUCGGGUACUCCUUCCCUAUCACAUCAUUCCACCACCCAAGUUUACUUUUCCAGCGGCGGCGCCAUCCGAAGCUCCCAAGACCUCCAACAAGCAUUCUUCCUCAUCAACCCCGGUGUCUUCAAACACUUCCUUCGCAGCAAGAUGGCCGUCGGCUUCGUCGUUCCUGAGGUCAAAUCUCCACCCCGUCUCCUGUAUUUUUCUUCAUAUCCCUGUUCACUCGCAAUUCAUUUUACUGAAUAUCUCCCUUUUCUUUUCUCUUUGUAUUUCUUUUUAUCCCAAAAAUCACUAGGAAUUGUCCAAUAAAAUUGUCAUCCCCACUGAUCAACCACACCUCCAAUGUCUCGGUCCUCUAGGAGAUCCAGAUCCAACCGACCUUAUUAAUGCAGAAACCAACAGGAUCCCCUUUAGAACUGAAAAUUUUUCUUUAGAUCUGUGGAAAGAUACCUUCCGUUCUUGGCCUAGCCCUACCGUAGGGUGGAAAGACUGGUUCUUGAGAGUCAGCAAUUCUUAUGAAGUCCAGUGGGGCGAAAGGAAGCUAGCCCAAUGCAUUAGAUUGUCCAUUGCCGAUAUGCAUAGGAACGAGUCAUGCUGAUAGCUGCAUCCUACUUUUGGUCAGACACCCUCAAUGCUUUCGCCUUUGGCCACGGCCCUGCUUCUCCUACCCUUGCCGAUGUGGCCAUGCUUACUGGUCUAGAUAUAUCUUCUGCCGAUAGCACCUACUUUUUUGAUACUGCCCCUAGUGCCAAAGUGGAGACUCGCGCUAUCGGCGGUUGGUCAGGGUACAUUCAGAAGUACCGUGGGAAAGGAUCCGUCACCAUAAAGGAACAAACCACCUUUCUGAACAUGUGGCUGGACAAGUUUGUAUUCUGUGGUCGAUCGGCAGGACCAACUUCCGUUUAUCUAUCGGCAGCGGAGAGACUGGCUAACGGUGGCCAAUUUCCUCUCGGCCGAUACUUGCUUGGCGCUGUUUACCACCUUCUCCAUCAGGUAGCCCAGAAACUCCUGCUCGGCCAGUCCAUCGGCAACCUGGGAGGCCCCUGGUGGUUUAUUAAUAUGUGGCUCAAUCUGCACCUGCAUAAGCGCCUUGAUUUCAACUUGUUCACACAGCACUUCCCAAGAGAUAUAGCCGAAAACCAUGUGUUGGGUGAAGAGGAAUCGGCAACGCGUGCCCCCUUGAACUUUGGCGAAGCUGUCAUCGUUCUACCUGGUUCAGGGAGUAAUCCGGAUCAGAUCGGCCGAUUCUUCCAGGUUCUGUAUGAGGGUUUGGCCAGAGACGAACGACCAUGGUUGGCUUAUGAUGACCCAGAUAGCAUGCUCCCUCUGUCCUUCAAUCCAUUUGAUGAAGCUCUCGACAGGGACAAUGAGACGAUGAUGGCAAUUGUGACUCCCAGAAUCAUUCCAGUGAAUUUUUUUUGGUAGCACAAAAACCUCUCCUCAGACUUAUGAAUUUUACAAUCCAUCGGCAUUAGCUCGCCAGUUAGCUUUCGGCCAGUUGCCGAUUGCACUUCCUUAUGCCGAUGUGAUAAAACCCAGAGAAACCAUCAACAACCUCCUUGAGUGGAUUCGAGUAGCCCAACUACCACCAAACGCCGAUACAGAUGUAGAUCUGUCAGAAUGGGUUCCGGCUGCUUUUAUCACUCAGGCAUACAAGUUAUGGUGGGCAGAGUGGAAAGAGCAUCUAUUCUGCAGAUCGGCCCUUUCAUACCGCGGCAUGAUCGACUCCGAAUACGAAGUUCCCGAUGACACUGUAAGUAACUCAAACCGAUGUUCCAUUUUCUCAAUACUAUUUCCAUCGAUAGCUUACCCUUGUAUUCCUUUCGCAGGUUGACAACAUCCCCCCAUCGGUUAGCAGGAGCGGCAAGCCGAUCGACUUGUUUCCAUCAGGCCCGAUUUCCUCCAUCGGCCACAAUGCUCCUAUCCUGGCUUCCAUCGUGCAUCGGGGUGUGCGUCUCAGGAAAGUCACCACCAGGAGAACCCAGACAUCACCAACGGUAGCUGCUCCCACUCUGGCGCGGGCUUUCAAGGAAAUUUGUCAAAUCUUUUCCUUUAUGCUGACUAUCUUUAUAUCGGCUAUAUUUAUGCUUAUAAACUCUUGUUCGUUAUUGCAGCAAACCGGCGCAUCGGCGAAAGCCAGGCGUGAAAGUGCCGAUGCCCCCCAGUCUAGCCAACCAAAGAGAAAAGGCACCACAGGUGCUAAGACUGGAACAAAGCGCCAGAAGGUAGCAACUCCCCCUCCUCCUCCGGUGUCUCCAAUUCCGGUGGAGUCUUCUCCUUCUUCUCCAGAAGCCCAGCCACAGCAAGCACCGUCUCCCCAACCUAUGCAGGAAGCACCACAGAUAGAAGAACCCCAGCAGGAAGGAUCCCAAACAGAAGGUACAUCAGCUGAUGUGGGUGGACAAACAACUGGCCCGGAGGGUCCAAUUACACCAUCGGCGGUUCUCCCGAUUCAGACAACCGUUGUUCCACCUCCAGGUAACAUACUUUAACAAUACCGCUACCGAUGAACUUAUUCCCAUUUAGUCUCAUAACUCCUCUUAUCUUCUUUCAGCUGAUAUCGUUCCAUCGGCAACCUCAGCCGAUCAACCUGUAGUUCCAUCGGCAUCUUUGGCCGAUCAGCCUGCAGCUCCGUCAGCACUUCUCAGUCAAAGACAAGAGAUCGCCUUGAAGCAAGUAAGUCACCGUUUACCGUUAGCAUUAUUUGCCGAUUCUCUGAAUAUGAGCUAACUUUGCUUUCCCUCCCAGGAACAAGAUUCUCCCGACAGCCUGUUCUCCUUCGCCAUCGAUCUCUCUGAAGAAGAAGGUGAAGAAGCAAGCUCUUCUCAGGCAGUCGGCAUUACAUCGGCAGAGAUCAGGGUCAGGCUGGAAGAAUUGUCAGCUCUCCUUCAUCAGGACACAGCACAAUUGGUUGAUGACUCCGAUCCUACCAAGACCCUGUUCAGAACUCUCAGAGGCCAAAUCCCAGCCGAUGUCGAAGAAAUCCUAUUCCAAGCCGCUCAUCUGGAGAGUCGCCAGCUACAGUACCAGAGAGCUUCUCGGCGUCUUGCCGAUAGAGCCGCUCAGACUCAACUCUCCGAUGAAAUGAGGAAGGAGAAGCUCUUGACCGAUGAGAAGCACAAGAACAUCGGUAUCCUGAGAUCUUCUGGAGACGCGCUGAAGAAGAAAAUAUCCGAUCUGUCGGCAAGAAGAGAAUCCCUGUUGGCGGAGCUCAAGGAAGUGGAGAACGCCCUAUCCCAAGCCCAACAGGAAGAGAGCCAAUUGUCAGAGACCAUCAGGCUUCUUGAGCACGAGCGAAACGCUCAUGGUCGCAAGGCACUUCAACUGAAGAAGAAGCUGAAGCCGAUAGAAGGUUCUGCCGAUGAUGACAUCAAGAAAAUAGAAGCAGCCAACCAAAUUCGGCUACGCGCUAUAUCGGCAAUCCAGGCGUUGCUUAAUACAUAGAGUUUCCAUUGGAUUUAUAUCCGUGCUUUCCUGCUUCCUCAGCUUUUAGUCUAGCCGAUAGGACUGUUAUCGGCACCUAAACUUUUGAAACACCAAGUCUUGUCCCCAAACAUUUGGAUCCAGUCGAUAGGAGUGUUAUCGGCACUUAAACUUCUAUGCAUCGACCCAUAUACUGGGGUAGUACUUCUUUAAAUAUUUGCCGUUUAAUGCUCUGGGAAAUUCAACUCCUUCGAGGGUUUCUAGAAUGUAGGCAUUACCAGGAGCCGAUCGACUUAUCCGAUAAGGACCCUCCCAAUUAGGAGACCACUUUCCAAACUUCGAACCUUUAGUCCCAAUUGGUAGAAUUAAUUUCCACACCAAAUCCCCAUCGGCAAACUCUUUAGCCUUCACUUUCUUAUCAUACCAUCUAGCAACUCUCUUCUUAUUUUCUUCUAUACUCAUUAAAGCUUUUAACCGAUGCCCUGCUAGAUCAUCCAAUUCAUCGGUCAUUAAAGUGGCAUAAUCAUCGGCAGUUAAUUGAUCUUGAAAAGAUAAUCGCCUAGAUCCAGCCUUAAUUUCCCAAGGCAACACCGCAUCAUGUCCAUACACCAAUUGAUAGGGUGACACCUUGGUUGAUCCAUGACAAGCCAUCCGAUAAGACCACAAUGCUUCAUUUAAUAAUGUAUGCCACCGCUUAGGAUUUUCUUCAAUCUUUCGUUUAAUAAGCUUGAUAAUUCCUUUGUUAGACGCUUCGGCCUGCCCAUUGGCUUGAGCAUAAUAAGGAGAAGAAUUCAACACUUUAAUCCCCAUACCGACUGCGAAUUCAUCGAACUCCCCCGAUGUGAACAUGGUGCCCUGAUCGGUAGUAAUCGUUUGGGGAAUCCCAAAUCGGUAAAUAAUAUGCUCCUUCACAAAAUCAAUCAUAUUGGCCGAUGUGACUUUCUUCAAAGGAAUAGCUUCAACCCACUUAGUGAAAUAAUCAGUGGCAACUAGAAUAAACUUAUGCCCUUUGCUAGAUGGUGGAUAAAUCUGGCCGAUCAGAUCGAUGGCCCAUCCCCGGAACGGCCAAGGCUUUAUUAUAGGAUUCAUAGCCGAUGCGGGUGCUCUCUGGAUAUUACCAAACUUUUGACAACCUUGACAUCCCUUGAAAUAUUCAAAACAAUCCUCAAGUAUGGUCGGCCAAAAAUAUCCAUUCCUUCGAAUCAUCCACUUCAUCUUAAAAGCUGACUGAUGCGCUCCACACACUCCUUCAUGGAUUUCCCCCAUCAAACUUCUAGCUUCAUCAUCACCCAAGCAUUGGAGAAGAAUUCCGUCGAUAGUUCGAUAAUACAAUUCAUCUUCAAGAAGCACAUACUUGCUUGCUUGAAAUCGAACCUGUCUUUCAACUUUUUUGGAUGGAUCUUUUAGAUAAUCAAUAAUUUCUUUCCUCCAAUCAUCGGCACCGAUUGCCGAUAUUGCAUUAAUCAUUGGCUGAUAUCCCGAAGCAUGUUGAGCUAACCGAUUGGCGUCUUCAUUAUGCAAUCGAGGAACAUGCUCUAAUCGGAAAUCCUUGAAUUCCUUUAACAGUUGCAUACUUCUCUCGAAAUAAGUUAUGAGAACUUCACUUCGGCAUUCAUAGCUCCCGGCCAAUUGAUUUAUAACCAACAUAGAAUCCCCGAAGAUCUCAACAGCAUCAGCACGAACUUCUCUUAACAACUCCAAUCCCUUGAUCAGAGCCUGAUACUCAGCCUGGUUAUUUGUUGAUGUGGCAACAAUCGGCAAGGAAAACUCAUACUUCCUCCCCUUAGGGGAAACUAAUACAAUGUCGAUUCCUGCCCCCCGGUCACAGGUAGAUCCAUCAAAGAAGAGUGUCCAGGGUACAAUUUCCAAGGUUUCCACCAUACCGCAAUGCUGAGUCACAAAAUCGGCCAUAAUCUGCCCUUUGACUGCCUUGGCCGAUUCGUAACGCAAAUCGAACUCCGACAGCGCUAAAAUCCAUUUACCGAUCCUACCACUCAUAAUCGGCAUAGAUAGCAUGUACCGGACCACGUCAUCUUUGCAAACAACAGUGCAUUCGGCCGAUAACAGGUAAUGUCUCAGCUUGAUACAUGAAAAAUAUAAGCAUAGGCAUAGUUUCUCAAUGGCCGAAUACCUGGUUUCAGCAUCAAUCAACCUCCUACUCAAGUAGUAAAUUACCCUUUCUUUCCCUUCAAAUUCUUGAACUAAAGCUGAACCGAUAACCGAUCCAUCGGCAGACAAAUACAAUCUGAAGGGCUUUCCUUGUUGAGGUGGAACCAGAACUGGAGGAUUUACUAGAUAUUUCUUUAUUUCACCCAGAGCCAACUGCUGUUCUUUUCCCCAAAUAAAUUCUUGAUCGGCUUUCAAUUUAAGAAGAGGACUGAAAGCACGAAUCUGACCAGACAGAUUAGAUAUAAAUCUCCUGAUAAAGUUUACCUUGCCGAUCAAGGACUGGAGUUCGGUCUUGUUGGUAGGGGCCACUAUUUUAUUGAUGGCAUCAAUGGAUCUUCGACUAAUUUCAAUACCCCUUUGAUGUACCAUGAAACCAAGAAACUGCCCUGCCGAUACACCAAAUGCACACUUGUUGGGAUUCAUCUUCAAUCCAUGCUUCCUUGUGCACUCUAACACUUUCUGUAAAUCGGCAAGAUGCUUUGAGAAAUCUCCAGACUUGACCACCACAUCGUCAAUAUAAAUCUCCACGAGCUUGCCGAUGAACUCAUGAAAUAUAAAAUUCAUAGCCCUUUGAUAAGUAGCACCAGCAUUCUUCAACCCAAAGGUCAUGACUAUCCAUUCAAAUAACCCAACAUGACCAGGACACCUGAAUGCGGUUUUUGGAAUAUCCUCCUCUGCCAUGAAUAUUUAAUUGUAUCCUGCAUUACCAUCCAUAAAGCUGAUGACCCGAUGACCAGCUGCAGCAUCAACCAGCAGAUCGGCGACAGGCAUUGGGUAUCCAUCCAUCGGCGUAGCUUUGUUGAGAUUCCUGAAAUCAAUGCACACUCGAAGCUUCCCGUUCUUCUUGUAAACCGGAACAACAUUGGAAAUCCACUCGGCAUACCAACACUGCCGAAUAAACUUAGCUUCAAUAAGUUUGGUGAUUUCGGCCUUAAUAUCAGGUAGAAUGUUAGGAUUACACCGGCGAGCUGGUUGCUGAUGUGGCCGAAAUCCAGACUUGAUGGGUAACCGAUGCUCAACAAUUGACCGGUCUAAACCAGGCAUCCCAGUAUAAUCCCAAGCAAAGCAAUCUUUAUAUUCCUUUAACAAACUAGUCAAUUGUUGCUUACACUCAGGAUCUAAUUUGGCACUAAUAAAAGUAGGCCUAGGCUUAUCACCACUACCUAUAUCUACUUCUACCAAAUCAUCGGCCGAUGUGAAUCCCUGGCCUAAUUUUCCAUCAUCGGCGAAUCUAUCCAUUAAAAACCGUCGUCAGAACCAACUGCUUGGAUCGGUGGAAUCUCGUAAUCGGCAACUUUGAGAAAAUCUUUCUCCCAAACUUCCCCUGAAAUGCACCUGGUCCUUUCGUAAGUAUCCGCCUCUGCCGAUGCGAUAACAUAAGAAGAAUCUCCUGGGACAAUCUCAAUCUUGUCACCUACCCACUGAACCAAGCAUUGGUGCAUUGUAGAUGGGAUACAACAAUUGGCAUGAAUCCAAUCUCUUCCCAACAAUAAGUUGUAAGCACCUUUUCCACUGAUCACGAAGAAAGUUGUUGGCAAGGUUUUGCUGCCGAUGGUGAACUCCACACAUAUUGCCCCCUUGACUGGAGACACGUUUCCUUCAAAGUCUUUGAGCAUCAUAUCGGUCUUGGUCAAAUCAUGAUCCCCUUUCCCAAGCUUCCGAUAUACUGCAUACGGCAUAAUAUUAAUAGCAGCUCCACCA